GGGAAACUCACCAGGGCCAGACAUAGUAAGGAUGGACAGAUUGAUAGCUCUUUCUUGAUUUUAUGGGUGGUGGUGCAUGGCCGUUCUUAGUUGGUGGAGUGAUUUGUCUGGUUAAUUCCGUUAACGAACGAGACCUUAGCCUGCUAAAUAGCGACGUGUAUCUUCGGAUACUCGCGCGCUUCUUAGAGGGACUUUGCGAUUUCAAGAGCAAGGAAGUUUGAGGCAAUAA
rnacentral:rRNA from 1 species